rnacentral:rRNA from 1 species
AUUGAACGCUGGCGGCAUGCCUUACACAUGCAAGUCGAACGGCAGCACGGGGGCAACCCUGGUGGCGAGUGGCGAACGGGUGAGUAACAUAUCGGAACAUACCCUAGAGUGGGGAUAACGUAGCGAAGUUACGCUAAUACCGCAUACGAUCUAAGGAUGAAAGUGGGGGGAUCUUCGGACCUCAUGCUCAUGGAGUGGCCGAUAUCUGAUUAGCUAGUUGGUGAGGUAAAGGCUCACCAAGGCGACGAUCAGUAGCUGGUUUGAGAGAACGACCAGCCACACUGGAACUGAGACACGGUCCAGACUCCUACGGGAGGCAGCAGUGGGGAAUUUUGGACAAUGGGGGCAACCCUGAUCCAGCAAUGCCGCGUGAGUGAAGAAGGCC